GAUGAACGCUGGCGGCGUGCCUAACACAUGCAAGUCGAACGGAGUCCAGCCUUUAAGACCUUCGGGUCAAAGGGGGGAAGACUGAGUGGCGGACGGGUGAGUAACACGUGGGCAACCUGGCUCAUAGAGGGGGAUAACAGAGAGAAAUUUCUGCUAUUACCGCACAAGCACAUACUGCCGCAUGGCAGAGGGUGAAAAGAGAAUUGCUAUGAUAUGGACGCGCUUCUGAUUAGCCGGUUGGCAGGGUAAGAGCCUCCCAAAGUGACGAUCAGUAGCCGAUCUGGGAGAAUGAACGGCCACUUUGGGACUAAGACACAGCCCAAACUCCUACGGAAGGGGGCAGAGGGGGAUAUUGCACAAUGGGGGGAGCCCUGAUGCAGCGACGCCGCGUAAGUGAAGAAGUAUGUCGGUAAGUAAAGCUCUAUCAGCAGUGAAGAUAAUGACGGUACCUGAAUAAGAAGCCCCGGCUAACUACGUG
rnacentral:rRNA from 1 species